UUUAGGGUGUUUGCCUCCUUUAGGGAAACUACCAUCCCUUGAAUCAUUAAAGAUAUUGGCUGCAUAUACUUUGAAAAAGGUGGGAGUUGAGUUUUUGGGAAUAUAACCCAAAAACAAGAAAGAUAACGCAAUUAUAUUCCCAAAUUGAAAUCUCUCGAAUUUCAGGAAUUUCCAAAGUGGGAAAGAAUGGAUUGACAUUGGAGGAGCGAGGGAAGAAGAAGAAGAUAAUGGGUUUGUUACCAUAAAAAUAAUGCCACGCCUUUGUUCCUUGAAAAUCUGGAGAUGCCUCAUGCUAAAUUCGCAACCAGAUUUUCUUCGUACUACACCGUUAAAGAAAUAGGAGGUUCUUCAAAGUCCAAUUCUUGAGCAACAUUGCAAAAGAGGGAUAAGGGAAGAUGGGCACAAGAUUUCUGACAUCCUAAGCAUCAAGUUUGAUUCAGACUAACAUUCAGAGGAAUGUUUUGGUCUCAUUCAAGAAAAUCAUGCAAAAAUGUUCCAUUCUAAUUCGCCCACAUUUAAUCUACACAUCAUACAAAAGGCUGUGUGUACAAAUGGCCUGUUAUCACUUCCAAGAUGCAGCCCAUCUAGCUUGAUAACUAAGAAAGGAAACUAGACCCAGAAGUGCUUUCCAAUAUGGAAGAGUGCAAAGCAUGGGAAGCAGCUGCCAUUUUGGAUCAAGAUAUUGUGAAUACUUUGACUUCAUUAGUUGGAUUAGCACAAGAAACAAUUCCCACUUUACAAGGGAAUUCCGAGGGCCAGCACUUGGACAUAUGAGCAAGGAUUCUGAACUGCCAAGGAAAUCUCUUACAAGGCUCUUUAGGCGAGUUGCAGAACCAGUGUUCGAAAUAGUAUGCAUGGAGAAUGGUGUUGGAUGCAACAGUGAAGAAUUUUAUAGUGAUAAUGAUCUGAAAGAUGACCUCCAAAUUUCAUUCUUUAUAGCCUUAUGUUUACAUUGAAGGUUUGCAUUUUUUCUAUGGACUUUAAGUGUCUUGAUCAUGUAUUUAUUGUGAUUGUUAAUAAAGACCUUUGUUGUUUGGAUAUUAUUACAUCUUUCUUUUGCAACCCAAUUGUCUAUACUAUUUGUGGAGUUCGUGCACUGUCUAUAACCCCUGGGUGCUAAAAUCUGCUUGCCAUGAAAUUAUGAAGUUUAUUGGAGGACUUUCAUUAUUUCAUGUCCUUGUUCUUUAAUGACUUACCUAGAGUUACAUCCUUAAGCAAAAAUAAAAAAUAAAAAAUUGCAUAUUCGGCAUAUUGCAUAUUUAACUUACCUAGCGACUAAAUCAGUUGUUUAUUGUUGGAGAAAUUCUUCUUAUUUCUCCUUUCAUUUUUGGGCAUAGUGUUGAGACUUGACUUUGGCAUAUUAUACCCCAAAAGAAAUUUUUAGUGCUACAGAAAUGCAGGUAAAAUCACAACAGAGAGGAGUAGAAACUUUCAAAAUUAUAGCAGUGAUUUCCUGUCUUACCAGCUCCCAUCACAGUUUCUCUGUGCCUAACCACAAUGAACUUUUGAGAUUGUUUAUAACACCUUUCUAGUACUCAAAUUCUAUAACACUUAACACACCGCUAUUAUUUGAAUUCUUUAACGCUACAUGUGUCUUUUACUAGAGAGGAGGUUGAGCUUUUAGGGAUGGUUUUGACGGAGUAAGGGAGUGGGAUUGUCUUGGUUAGUGAUUUGCCCAUUACAAGCCAGCCUAUUAUUGAGCAGCUACUAGAUUGAAUCUAGUCCAAAAGGGUUGAGAAAGAUGGGUUGGCCAAGGAUGACACAAAAAGUCAGAAACCUCAUUGGCUCUCAAUGGUACUAUAAUGAUUCAGAGCAAAGUAUGCUAACUGUGGUGAGGACUUGUGCUUGAUUCCUGAGUGACCUUUUUACCUUGAAGGAGCUGGUGGAGAAUUUGGAAAUUAGCUACUCCAGGAUGUGAGUCUGCAGAUAUCUCAAAGAUGAAGGUAAGAAUCUACAACCUAGAAGGAAAGGCCAGACCAAUCCCUAUAAUCAUUUUUUAAUUGAUACAAAUCAAAUCUCUAGAAUCAUGGGGGAGAUAAGCUGAGAAUCUGGUGUUGAAAUAUGGUGCUGAAAUCAAGGCUAGUCAAGGCAGCCAAUCAAGUCUGGGAAUCACUGAACAAGAAAGAACUCAAAGAGGAGUAUUUUGUAGCAACUAAUUCUAGCUUUAAAGGCUUGGCUAUAAUUUCCUUUGUUAUGCUUUCAGUCAUGAUCCGAUGUACAUGACAUGCGCUAUUCCAAGCAACGCUUUUGAAAAUGCUGAAGUACUCUGUCAAGUAUGGAGGUGACAACCAGGCGAGAAGAAAUCACAAAUAUCUUGGCUUUGUUAAUUGGAGUAAGUAAGAGUUGGAUACUAUUCUAUAGUAAGGUAUAUCUGGAUAUUCUUUUUAGUCUUCUGUCUAUUUUCCUUAUCAUUUUCUCCAUCCAUAAUAUUUGUGCUGAAGCAACAUUUGACAAAGGGCCACAAAAGAAACUCUGUUUGUCUUUUUGUAAUGGUAGGAAGGCAAGUGUGAUGUUUCAUUUCUAGAGUAGUCUAUAUUAGAUCGUGGCAGAUGAAAGGUGAGCUUGGUAAUUGACCAAUUGUCAAUGUAUGAAUUUUCUUGCUUUAAUUUUUGAGGUUUAUCAUCGACUUUGAUAAUUAUCAACAUUUAGCAUUGUAGAUUUAGGAUAUUAAAAAUAGAAGCAUGUAGAUUUCUUGUCUUAGUGAUUGAAGAGUUACAUGCCUUGGUAGAGGGGAAAGAGUGGGAUGAAGCUUGGUUUCUUACCAUUGGUUUGACAGUUGCACAAUUUUGGAAUGAAAUUUUGAAAAUGGACAUACCUGAAUUAGAAGUCAAUAU